UAAGGAGGGUGCAAGCGUUGUUCGGAAUCACUGGGCGUAAAGCGCGUGCAGGCGGCCUGUUAAGUCAGGUGUGAAAUCCCUUGGCUCAACCAAGGAACUGCAUCUGAAACUAAUUGGCUUGAGUACGGGAGAGGAGAGUGGAAUUCCCGGUGUAGAGGUGAAAUUCGUAGAUAUCGGGAAGAACACCGGUGGCGAAGGCGGCUCUCUGGACCGAUACUGACGCUGAGACGCGAAAGCGUGGGGAGCAAACAGG
rnacentral:rRNA from 1 species